rnacentral:rRNA from 1 species
CAGGCCUACGGGGGGCAGCAGUAGGGAAUCUUUCACAAUGAGGGAAACCCUGAUGCAGCGACGCCGCGUGAGCGAAGAAGUAUUUCGGUAUGUAAAGCUCUAUCAGCAGGGAAGAAAAUGACGGUACCUGACUAAGAAGCCCCGGCUAAAUACGUGCCAGCAGCCGCGGUAAUACGUAUGGGGCAAGCGUUAUCCGGAUUUACUGGGUGUAAAGGGAGCGCAGGCGGCUUGGCAAGUCUGAUGUGAAAGGCUGGGGCUCAACCCCAGGACUG